rnacentral:ribozyme from 12 species
AAAAAAAAAAAAAAAAAAAAAAAAAAAAAAAAAAAAAUGAAAAAAUGAGGAAAAAAAUUAA